rnacentral:rRNA from 1 species
UACGUAGGGGGCAAGCGUUGUCCGGAAUCAUUGGGCGUAAAGAGCGUGUAGGCGGUCCGGUAAGUCGGCUGUGAAAGUCCAGGGCUCAACCCUGGGAUGCCGGUCGAUACUGCCGGACUAGAGUCCGGAAGAGGCAAGUGGAAUUCCCGGUGUAGCGGUGAAAUGCGCAGAUAUCGGGAGGAACACCCGUGGCUAAGGCGGCUCUCUAGUACGGUACUGACGCUGAGACGCGAAAGCGUGGGGAGCGAACAGG